CAGCCGCCCGGUAAAACGAAGGGGGCUAGCGUUGCUCGGAAUUACUGGGCGUAAAGGGCGCGUAGGCGGACAGUUCAGUCGGGGGUGAAAGCCCGGGGCUCAACCUCGGAAUUGCCUUCGAUACUGGCUGUCUUGAGUAUGAGAGAGGUGUGUGGAACUCCGAGUGUAGAGGUGAAAUUCGUAGAUAUUCGGAAGAACACCAGUGGCGAAGGCGACACACUGGCUCAUUACUGACGCUGAGGCGCGAAAGCGUGGGGAGCAAACAGGAUUAGAUACCCCAGUAGUCCCUGUCUCUUAUACA
rnacentral:rRNA from 1 species